AAAGUCGUAACAAGGUUUCCGUAGGUGAACCUGCGGAAGGAUCAUUAAAAGUUUUAGUUAUACUCACGUAUAUACUUUAAUAAACCCAUUCCGAGUACCUUACCCGUUGCUUCCGUGGAGCAGGACCUCGGUCCGCUCUGACUAUGCCCUUGCGGCGUACGAUGAGUAGUCUUCACGGGAGGUAUACAUUAAACUCUUGCAUUUCCAUGUCAUCUGUCUGAAUACUGUUUAUAACAAAUGUUAAAACUUUCAACAACGGAUCUCUUGGUUCUC
rnacentral:misc_RNA from 1 species